CCUGUGGUCCUGCCUCGUUCUGCCACGCUUCGUCGACGCGGUCGCUUUCACUCGAGAGAAACGCAAACUUCCAAACACCUAAGGAGUGGAAGAAAUAUUUGAUAAACCCUAUUACAUUCAUUCACAGUUCAUUGCUUAAAUCAAUGAAUCUACAAUUUUUUCUGAGUCCGCUGUCGAAUUUCGCCUACAACAAACUGGUUACCACACGGCGGAAGAUCGACUACACUACCGAUUCACAACAUAGCGAUGAAAGAAAGUCUACUAAAGAAAGUUUUUACAAAAAGCCUCAAAUAUGAGAAAGGAUCCAUGUCUUAAAGACGAAGAAAUCGAAGACAAUAAAGCAGCAAAAAAUCACUUACCACCAAAGGGGAACUUAGUCCCUUGAUGCACUGUGCUUGAGGUUACUGACGUUGAUGUUGGAUGAUUCUAGGAACAACGCAUAAGAAACAUGUUGCACAUAAGUAACAUUGUUGCGAUUGACAUAAUCAGGUGCGUCCACAGGAGGGUGUGCAGCGUGCACGUGACCCCCCUUGGCGGCCAAAAAGUGGGUCAUUUCUUAUUAAGGAAUCUUCAAAUACCAUGCUUUUUCCAUAUGAUACCUAUACUGUGCACCCCCUCUGCCAAUCCUGGGUACGCGCCUGAUAAAUAUGUAUUUAUUUGACAACUAUAAAUAAUCUUAGAUUUGUUGUAAAACUGAUUGACGUAAUAGUGUUAUUUAUAAUAAAAAAAUUACACAUUCCA